ACCGCUCUCCAAGGACUCUCGAGCAGCUCCAUCUACAGAUUCACAUGGAGAAGAAUUAAGGGUUCCUGCCAAUCACCAGCACCACUUUGCCAGCCUUGUAAGUGGGCCACCUUGGAAUUGGAGCCUCCAGUUCCUACUGACAUCUGACUGCAACAUCAUGAGAGACCCUGAGUUUGAACCACCCAGCUGAGCUGCUUCUGAGCUAACCCACUGAAACCACAGUUGGCAUCUGUGUGAAGAUGUGAAUGGAGGAGGCAGAGUAGGCAGUGAGUGCCGCAGCCACAGCUUGUGUUCUCUGCAGCCCUGGCACAGAAGAUAGGAACACUCAUGGGGGAUGCGGCCACUGUGAUGUCUUCCCACACAAGAAGUGCCAAGUGCUUUUCUCAUGCUUUUCUGGAUUGUCCCAUGGUGGACGAGUCAGCAGGAGUGAGAUGGAGCAGCACAGUAGAGGGGUACCUGGCAAGGCCCGGAGGGAGGACCCCCUGCCCCAAACAUUUCAAUGAUAUCAGGUUCCUUAGAUCCUGGGAUGAGGAGGUGGACCAGCAGAAGGUGGGCUUGUGAAGGCAGCCCGGGGUCCAAAUCCUCCUGGCUCUUCAGCUUAGCGGGAUGUCACCUUCAGCGUCUGAAAGCUGGGUUUGAUGCGUCUGGAAAGGCGUCCCUGACAGGCGUCGUUGCCAGGAGCCCCUAGUGCCACCAGCAGCCAGCAGGGGAGGGCGUCCUCUGCCCGCUCACUUCUGACCCUUCUCUCGUUGCACCCGGAACAUGGUGCAGCUGGGAGCAGCCUGGGCUGCGCGGAAGGCUCAGAUUUGGGGACGGCCCUUGCCAGUGACUGUGAGCUGGGGUGUCUUGGAAACUCCCAGUCUCAGCUUCUCCAUUUAUAAGAUGAGAAUGAUCAUACCAGACUCAGGCAAGGUUGUUUGUGCAUUAGUGAAAUCAGACGUAUUAAAUAAAGUACCACAUUGAUCGUGGAGUUGUUGAAUAACCAAGAA
rnacentral:lncRNA from 1 species